rnacentral:rRNA from 1 species
CGUAGGGUGCGAGCGUUAAUCGGGAUUACUGGGCGUAAAGUGUGCGCAGGUGGCUGGGCAAGUCGAGUGUGAAAUCCCCGGGCUUAACUUGGGAAUUGCGCUCGAAACUACUUGGCUCGAGUGUGGCAGAGGAAGGUGGAAUUCCAGGUGUAGCGGUGAAAUGCGUAGAGAUCUGGAGGAACACCGAUGGCGAAGGCAGCCUUCUGGGCCAACACUGACGCUCAUGCACGAAAGCGUGGGGAGCAAACAGGAUUAGAUACCCUGGUAGUCCACGCCCUAAACGAUGAUGACUAGUUGUUGGGGGAGUUAAAUCCCUUAGUAACGCAGCUAACGCGUGAAGUCAUCCGCCUGGGGAGUACGGUCGCAAGAUUA